GGGAGAUCCAGUCUGCCACGUCUAACCACUACGCCUGCACCUAUCUUUCAAGAUCUUUAAAAAGGAGUCAUUUCCUAUGGGACUGUUAGAAAUAGAAAAGCAGAAUUACAGAAGGUGGCCUGGUUAACAGAUGCAGAAUAUUCCCACUAUGGUCUCCACAAAGAAGUUCUAAAAUUGUCUCUCUUGGGACUGAAGCAAUGGAAGUGUCAGCUUUUCCACAACCUUCUCGGACCUCUGACUUUAUCCUGUUGAACAUCAAGCUAAUUUCCUCACAGAAAUGAUUGCUGCUUAUGUUACACAUGGUUACUUUUGGACAUCUCACACCAUUAGAAGACUGGG
ensembl:lncRNA